UCAAGACAAAAUUUCAUGAAGCGCCCUCUGCUUGAAGAUAUAAAAGCGCAAAUUUCGUUCGACCGUUUGUCAGUGUUUCUUCGAACCUCACACUAACGUCACCAUGAAGAUUGUGUUGCUUUUGCUGGUGCUCCUGCCCAUUGCGUUCUCUGUCGAAGUCGAAAAGAGAUUCUUUCUUCCCGACGCACUAAAGACAGUUUGUGCCGUAUUGGGAGCUGAUGCAACGGAAGCCCAGUGUGAAUCUCUGUGCCAUGCCAACCUACCAGCGUAUCUAACCGCCUUCUGUGGCGCAGCGUGCCAAUUGAUUCAAAGUGGAGCCCACUCUUGCGACUAAAUACAGACACUGCAUUUACUGAAACUGCAAAGUAAUAAAACAAUCAUAUGAAUUA